rnacentral:rRNA from 1 species
AGUGAACGCUGGCGGUAGGCCUAACACAUGCAAGUCGAACGGCAGCACAGUAAGAGCUUGCUCUUACGGGUGGCGAGUGGCGGACGUGUGAGGAAUACAUCGGAAUCUACUUUUUCGUGGGGGAUAACGUAGGGAAACUUACGCUAAUACCGCAUACGACCUACGGGUGAAAGCAUGGGAUCUUCGGACCUUGCGCGAUUGAAUGAGCCGAUGUCGGAUUAGCUAGUUGGCGGGGUAAAGGCCCACCAAGGCGACGAUCCGUAGCUGGUCUGAGAGGAUGAUCAGCCACACUGGAACUGAGACACGGUCCAGACUCCUAAGGGAGGCAGCAGUGGGGAAUAUUGGACAAUGGGCGCAAGCCUGAUCCAGCCAUACCGCGUGGGUGAAGAAGGCCUUCGGGUUGUAAAGACCUUUUGUUGGGAAAGAAAAGCAGCAGGUUAAUACCCCGCUGUUCUGACGGUACCCAAAGAAUAAGCACCGGCUAACUUCGUG